AUUGAACGCUGGCGGAAUGCUUUACACAUGCAAGUCGAACGGCAGCACGGGAGCUUGCUCCUGGUGGCGAGUGGCGAACGGGUGAGUAAUGCGUCGGAACGUGCCGAGUAAUGGGGGAUAACGCAGCGAAAGUUGUGCUAAUACCGCAUACGCCCUGAGGGGGAAAGUGGGGGAUCGCAAGACCUCACGUUAUUCGAGCGGCCGACGUCUGAUUAGCUAGUUGGUGGGUAAAGGCCUACCAAGGCGACGAUCAGUAGCGGGUCUGAGAGGAUGAUCCGCCACACUGGGACUGAGACACGGCCCAGACUCCUACGGGAGGCAGCAGUGGGGAAUUUUGGACAAUGGGGGCAACCCUGAUCCAGCCAUUCCGCGUGAGUGAAGAAGGCCUCGGUUGUAAGUACGUCUUUCUAGUCAGGAACGAAACGGUAGGUCCCGUAACUACGGACGUACUAAUAGACGGUACCGUACGAAGAAGAA
rnacentral:rRNA from 1 species